rnacentral:rRNA from 1 species
GUGCGGAACACGUGUGCAACCUGCCUUUAUCUGGGGGAUAGCCUUUCGAAAGGAAGAUUAAUACCCCAUAAUAUAUUGAGUGGCAUCACUUGAUAUUGAAAACUCCGGUGGAUAGAGAUGGGCACGCGCAAGAUUAGAUAGUUGGUGAGGUAACGGCUCACCAAGUCAAUGAUCUUUAGGGGGCCUGAGAGGGUGAUCCCCCACACUGGUACUGAGACACGGACCAGACUCCUACGGGAGGCAGCAGUGAGGAAUAUUGGACAAUGGGUGAGAGCCUGAUCCAGCCAUCCCGCGUGAAGGACGACUGCCCUAUGGGUUGUAAACUUCUUUUAUACUGGGAUAAACCUACCCUUCGUGAGGGUAGCUGAAGGUACAGUAUGAAUAAGCACCGGCUAACUCCGUGCCAGCAGCCGCGGUAAUACGGAGGGUGCAAGCGUUAUCCGGAUUUAUUGGGUUUAAAGGGUCCGUAGGCGGACUCGUAAGUCAGUGGUGAAAUCUCAUAGCUUAACUAUGAAACUGCCAUUGAUACUGCGGGUCUUGAGUAAAGUAGAAGUGGCUGGAAUAAGUAGUGUAGCGGUGAAAUGCAUAGAUAUUACUUAGAACACCAAUUGCGAAGGCAGGUCACUAUGUUUUAACUGACGCUGAUGGACGAAAGCGUGGGGAGCGAACAGGAUUAGAUACCCUGGUAGUCCACGCCGUAAACGAUGCUAACUCGUUUUUGGGUUUUCGGAUUCAGAGACUAAGCGAAAGUGAUAAGUUAGCCACCUGGGGAGUACGUUCGCAAGAAUGAAACUCAAAGGAAUUGACGGGGGCCCGCACAAGCGGUGGAUUAUGUGGUUUAAUUCGAUGAUACGCGAGGAACCUUACCAAGGCUUAAAUGGGAAUUGACAGGUUUAGAAAUAGAUCCUUCUUCGGACAAUUUUCAAGGUGCUGCAUGGUUGUCGUCAGCUCGUGCCGUGAGGUGUUAGGUUAAGUCCUGCAACGAGCGCAACCCCUGUCACUAGUUGCCAUCAUUCAGUUGGGGACUCUAGUGAGACUGCCUACGCAAGUAGAGAGGAAGGUGGGGAUGACGUCAAAUCAUCACGGCCCUUACGCCUUGGGCCACACACGUAAUACAAUGGCCGGUACAGAGGGCAGCUACUAUGCGAAUAGAUGCGAAUCUCGAAAGCCGGUCUCAGUUCG